CAUAAACUCACCGUGUGUGACAUCAUUGCUCACUGGGGUUGAUGCUGGACAGUUCUUACUAAGAGAUUUACACUGUGGAAAUCAACCACGCUUAGAAUUUACGUUUUCACACCGUGGAUGAUGUCGCACUUUAAGAUCUGAGAAACAAACUGAAUGAGACUGUACAGAUAUUCGACCAGUUACAUUAGGCCACAGCAGUGACACCUCUGACCUCUGUCUGUCUCCGUCAGAUCGGGGGGACGUACGCUAAACCGGUGAUUCUUCCACCAGAGGUCGCCAUCGGAGCUCUGGGAAAAAUCCAGGUUCUUCCUCGGUUCGAUGCUGGCGGUCAGGUGGUCCCAGCUCGCAUCAUGAAGGUCAGCUGGUCGGCAGAUCAUCGCAUCAUCGACGGCGCCACCAUGUGUCGCUUCUCCAACCUGUGGAGGGAGUACCUGGAGAACCCGGCGAGCAUGGUGCUGGACCUGAAAUAAAGAGGAUUGUUUGUCAUCAGCCCCGGGAGACGGAGACACCACACGAUCAGACCUUCCCCCCUCCUCCCCUCGCCGACUUUGCCUCAUCUGUUUGGACGCCUUCAUGUUUGAUGGCCAUCGUUUCCUUGUUGCCUUGAGCCGGGGGGAGGGGCUGAAGUCAGUCUGUCAGUCAUGUUGUUUUCAUGAUGACUCUUCACCCUCAGAGUUUAGAAGUUAACUUGAACUCCUGGAUCAAUAAUUAAUAAUCGAUCUGCAACAAAUGAAUCACACACUAUAUUCAGAACACCCUCCCACCCCGCCCAUAAUAAUAAUAAGAAUGAAUCGUAUCAUCAGGCAGUCAUCAUCUGCAUCAUCAACAUCUUCAUCUUCUGUGUCUCCAGGACACAGACGUGGACAGAAGUUGAUCAGAUUGAUAUAUUGAUCUGAUGAUGAACAGCUGCUGUAUCAAGAGUCACCUGCUGCUCACAUUACAUUACUGUAGCUGUAUGAUUGUGACCAGCAGGGGGCAGUGACCUCACAUCAACAUGUUGGUCCCUGCGGAGUUUGUGUCCCCGAUGGACCUCGCUCCAGUGUUUGGUCUCCUCCUCCUCGAGCUGUGCUGGACGUCUCCGUCUCUUCUCCUGGACUUCUUCAGUGCGCCCUGGGGACUGCUGGGUAAAAAGCACUUGGUGUUGGUCGUCUGUUACAGUUUUUUCUGCUGUGUUUGUUUUUAUUGACACUACAUGUAAAGAGAUGAAUGUGAAUAAAGUUGAAAACCUGAUCGAAACAA